UACGAAGGGGGCUAGCGUUGCUCGGAUUGACUGGGCGUAAAGGGCGCGUAGGCGGUUCGUACAGUCAGACGUGAAAUUCCUGGGCUCAACCUGGGGCUGCGUUUGAUACGUGCGGACUUGAGUGCGGAAGAGGGUCGUGGAAUUCCCAGUGUAGGAGGUGAAAAUUCGUAGAUAUCGGGAAGGAACACCGGUGGCCGAAGGCGGCGACCUGGGUCGACAGCUAACGCUGAGGCGC
rnacentral:rRNA from 1 species